CUAAGCUAUGUAUAUCUAAGUUCAAAUUAACUUAUAAAAACUGAAAUAAUGAAUGGCUCAAUUCUAAUAGCUAUAACACUUUGUAUUGAUUAUUCUACGAGAAUAACUAUGGCAAUUUCAGAGCUAAUAGAAAUACCAAAGCAAUGACUUUUGGACGAGCGCACCUGUCACAUUAAAGUAAUCGAUCCGUUAAUUGGUGACACUGAAUAUUGUGUCGUGGACAGAUCCGUCAAUCUAAUUUAUUAACAUUGGGUGAUAUUUGUGACCAUUAACGGAGUAUAUGGGUUUGAUUCCGGAAAAAGAGACUAGGAAAGACUAUCACAUCGAAGGAAGAAAGCG
rnacentral:ncRNA from 1 species